rnacentral:ncRNA from 2 species
CGACGCCGGGUGGGAGAGCUUCCGAUAGGGAAGCGCCGACGGGGCAACUCUCCCCAGAACCUCUCAGGCACCAGGACCAUCCGGAAGAG